GUUUUUUCAUUUAUAACUAUUGAGAAUAUUUCAAUUACUUAUUUUUUUUAUUCGAUUCUAUUCCGUCGCUUGCAAUAUCUCCAAAUCGAUCAAGACAUACAAAUAUAACCCUAAAAAUCGGACAUUUGAAAGAUUUGAAGAUGAAGAAAGAGUCGUGCAUAGAUGUAUGAUGUUUGGAAAAAUC
rnacentral:sRNA from 1 species